rnacentral:rRNA from 1 species
UACGGAGGGUGCGAGCGUUGUCCGGAAUCACUGGGCGUAAAGAGCUCGUAGGCGGUCUGUUGCGUCGGCUGUGAAAACCCGGGGCUCAACCCCGGGCCUGCAGCCGAUACGGGCAGACUAGAGUUCGGCAGGGGAGACUGGAAUUCCUGGUGUAGCGGUGAAAUGCGCAGAUAUCAGGAGGAACACCGGUGGCGAAGGCGGUUCUCUGGGCAUUCCCUGACGCUGAGGCGCGAAAGCGUGGGGAUCAAACAGG